rnacentral:lncRNA from 1 species
UUGGAAUUUCUCUGAGGCUGUGGCAGAAGCCUGCAUUGCGAGCAGGCUGUGGGGCUGGUGGCAAGCUUCCCCUUGAGCUCGUCACGUUCUUCAGUGCAGCACAACACAGAGUAAAGGUCCAUGGGUGUUUAUGCGGCGGCUGGAGCAGCCAGAAGAACCCUCUGCUCACCAACACCUUCCUCUGUCUCCCAAGUCCUUCCUGUCGGCUCCUUGCAGACAGACGGCUAAGUUCACCUGGGGUAGGACAGAAACAGCCUCGUGUCCCGAUAAGUGUCCCCAGGCGUAGUCAGAGUAAAGGUCGUUGGGAAGUACAGUUGUUAUUACUGCCCGCUCCUUGCACG